AAGAAGUCUGUUGUCUUUUGAACUGUUUUGUCCUUAAAGGAAUUGGAGCCCUUCACUCUUCCUUUGGACUCUGUCUCUGGCCUGCUCUGACCUGCUCCUCUGCUGCUGAGACUCCCUCAUGCAAUGGCAUGCUCGGCCAUUCUACAAGCUUGGAAUGACAUUCUCAGCUUCUACCACACUUCGCAUCAAGUCUCUUUUCUUGAUUUUAUCAAAAUGUGUCACAUAAAAAGUGGAAUCUUUAAAACUCUGUGAAGGAAAUUUCAUGUGGUUUCCACAGCUUCUUUUACAUCUCCACUGACUUCAAAGAAUAUUACAGAGCAAGGGCAAAAUGACUCCUCUUGAUAUUCAUGGGCAUGUGCCUUUGGCCUGCAGGUGAUCAUGUAGAAAGACCCCUUGUCUGGGAUGUGGAUGAUAUAAAUUCAAAUAUUGAAUUUGACCCUGUUCAUGUUUGUGACCUUAUCCAACAAUGCGCUUUUACAAUCUUGUAUUCUUCAUCCAUUGCAUGAACUAAAAUAUCUUACAUUUUUUGUUAAGCUCCAAAUUCCAAGUCUUUAUGCUUGAGACUAAUAUCUCGCUGCAGACAUUUAUUUACCCUGCUUUAUUUUCUUGUCAUACUGGUUUGUCAUGAUUUCUCCGACCUUGAAGUUAGCAUUCGAGGUUGGAAUGGGCUUGUCGUAUACUUUCUGUUCUUCAACCCUCUUUUGCCUUCAGAUAAAAUUCUGCAAAAAUUAUGAGACAAUUGAAAUUCCACACUGUGUCUAACCGUCUUAUAUUCCCCUGAAUGCAAUGAGCUGUGUCAUCCCUUGGGCGUUGUUUGUAAUUAUAGUACAUCUCUGAAGAGCAAUUGCUUUGUCAUGGAGCUAUUUUUAUAUCUGGAUAUUCUACAACUAGAUUGUGAGCUUUUACAACUAGAGAUAUGACAUAUUAAUGUUUUCAAUCACCCACAAUAUGUAGCAUGUAUCUUUUGUAGUGGACUGGAAAUGAUUUUUUUAUACUGGCUUUAAUAAAAAUGAAACU
rnacentral:lncRNA from 1 species